ensembl:lncRNA
AGGGCCAGCAGCAUGGUUCCCAUUCACCAGUCUGUUUAACCUUUAGUAACAAUAAACCCGGUUUUCUUAUAUUCAAUCCUUGUUUGUCGACUUCAUGUUACUUCCCUCGAGCCGGGUCGUAACAUAUUGGGGGCUCGUCCGGGAUCAAUCUCGAUCAGUUUUGCGGAGUUAAUUAUUUCAAAUUUUCCCCUAGACAGAGUAACUUGGUAUGUUUUGGUGGUGUUUGGCAGUGUGGCUAUGAGCAGCUUCUUUUCAUGGUGAGUAUGGUGAGUAUUGAAUCUGAGUGCUAUGAUUUUAAGUUGUGAGUGAUCCCCCCUGGUUAGUUAGGGAGUGUACCAGCUGGGCAGAGCAGUCUGUCCUUCCAUCGGUACACUAUUUGUUAUUAUGCCUUCUUUAUUUUCGAGGUAAUCCUGGGUGGAGACGUGUUCUCUGGUGGGGGCGAGCAUUUCAGGGCCUUGGUCACAUGGCUGAGGUUAACUGAGCUUUGUUUUAAAGAAGCCUCGAGCCCGGCACGCCUCAGAAGACCAUUAGGGUUAGUUUAAAGUUAGGCAGAUACCAGGGGGCUUGCUUAGAUGAUCAUUUGCACUUGGAGGCUUGCUCACUGUGCUCAGCAGUAAUUGAUUUGUAAAGUUGUUCGAGUUAGUGAUUGCUUUGUGGGGACAGUUGUGGUAACGUGUCCAGGGUCCUAGCUUCGUUUUGUACAGCUUGUGGAUUUGUCAGGUGUGGUGUGUAGCUUGACUUUGUUGGCCAUUUCUCCCGGAGGUUGCUGUUGCCUUGGUCUUGAUUACCAGCAGGGUCCAUUUUUUUUGUAAUGAGUUCUGUAUGGGUAACAUUUUGUGCUACUUAGUAGCUAGAUGGGAGUUACUAGGCCCAUCCCUCUUAUCAUGGUUUCAACAAUCAUUUAGUAGAAGGGAUUUGUGAUAAGCUGUAGUGUUGGAUGAGGUGUGUACUGGUGUAAGUUGAAACCUUGGGUAAAAGUGAUUGGUGUAUUUUGUUAUUUAUGUUUGGUUACUGAAGUUAUCUAGUAUGGCGGCUAUUGAUGACUUUAUUAGUGCACCCUCAGAGGUGUUGCUUUAUCAGCUCACUAAAGAACAGCUCCUUAGCCUUGCCAGUCAUUAUGAUAUUGAGAUUGCCAGUGGUGAUAAACGCCUUGAAGAUAGUUUAAGAGAAGCACUUAAGGCUAGCCUAGCCGAAGGAGGCGUCCUAAAGACGUCGGCUCUACCAGCAUAUCAGCAUCAACUUGUUCUUCCUCAAAUGUCAGAUGCUGUGCUGUGUGGAGUUCAGGUUGAAGGAGUUGGCGUUUCGAGAAUUAGAACUAGAGGAUAAAGAGAAGAGCGUAUCCUUAAGGAAAGACGAAUGUACCUAGAACAUGAGCGUUUCCUGAAAGAGCUUGAAUUUAAGCAUGCUGCCUUGAGCUCAUCCAAUUCUGCCCCGGCUCAGUUUAAUGUAGCAAGCAACAUCAGACUAGUACCUCCAUUCGCUGAGAAAAAUGUUGAGAGGUACUUUGCUCAUUUUGAACGAGUGGCUACUGUUUCAGACUGGCCAAUGCAUGCCUGGACAUCGCUUUUGCAAAGCGUUUUGGUGGGGAAAGCACAAGACGCUUACACUGCUUUGAACAUUGAGGAUAUCAAGGACUACGAAAAAGUUAAAGGCACUAUUCUAAGAUCUUAUGAGCUCGUUCCUGAGGCGUACUGCCAGCGUUUUAGAGGCCUCAGUAAGCUGGAUGAACAAACUUAUGUUGAGUUUGCAAGAGAAAAGGAGAUCAGUUUUAGUUCUUGGUGCAAGUCACAGGAGGCGGAAACUAAGGAAGAUCUUAGACAAUUAGUUCUGCUGGAGGACUUUAAAAAUUGUCUGCCUACUGACGUGUGUACUUAUAUCAAUCAGCAAGAAAUGACCACUCUUGAUAAGGCUGCUGUCCUAGCAGACAAGUAUGUAUUGACGCUCAAGGUAAACUUUGAUAACGACCAAGGUGAGCGAGAAAGAAGGACUGGUUUUAGUAGACCUCGGUUUCCAACCACUUCCUCCACCUGCUCAGAACCUGCUCGGUGGGAGGAGUCCCACCGUUUCUACAACUUUCGCUAGAAGAUCGGCUACUGUGAGUACUCCGUUAGAGAAGACUUGUUUCUAUUGCAAGAACAGUGGUCACUUCAUUGCCGACUGCCCUGUCUUGAGUAAGAAACAUGAGUCUUAUAAGCCUGUUGCCUUACUAAAAACUGUGAAAAAUUGUGCUGUCAUCCAAGACAUGGACCAAUCCGCUCAAAAGAGUGAGCUGCCUGGUUCUUCGUCUUUCCUUAUGGAUGGUUGUGUUUCUCUUGUCACUGAUCCUUCAAUCAAGCAACCGAUUAAGAUCUGGAGAGAUAGUGGAGCUUUUCAGUCUUUGAUUCUACAGGACCUCCUACUGUUUACUGACCAGUCCAAGUUGGGUUCCAGUGCCCUCGUCCAAGGGUUUGGGGGGGGGUUAUCUGUCUCUGCCUAUGCAUAAACUUACCCUUGAAACUGGUCUUGUCUCUGGGGAUGUAGCUGUAGCUGUGUGUUCAAGCCUUCCCAUUAAAGGGGUGUCCUUCAUCUUGGGGAAUGACCUAGCCUGUGGUAGGGUGCUUACGGCUCCUGAGGUUGUCCCUUUUCCUGUAGUGUCAAAACGCCCAGAUGAUCUUCAGAAGCCCAACCAGAAGAUUCCUUCAGCUCCCUUACCUCCUAUCCCUGCCAUAGGGGAGCCUUUUGAGCGUAUCUUGAUCGAUUGUGUUGGUCCCCUUCCCCGUACCAAGUCAGGUUACCGGUACUUAUUGACAAUCAUGUGUACAGCUACCCGGUUUCCUGAAGCUAUCCCUCUAAGUAGGAUCAACGCUUCAGCCAUUUCCAAGGCCCUUAUUAAGUUCUUUGCAGUGUUUGGCCUGCCGAGAGAUAUCCAGACCGACCAGGGUUCGAAUUUUAUGUCCCGUGUGUUCUCGUAGGUUCUCCAGCAGUUGUCUAUUGAGCACCAGACUUCAUCUGCUUGUCAUCCAGAGUCUCAAGGAGCCCUUGAGCGGUUUCUUCAGACCCUAAAGUCCAUGUUACGAGGCUACUGUAAGGAGUUUGAGAGAGAUUGGGAUGAGGGAACCCCUUUGCUCCUCUUUGCAGCUAGAGAGGUCACUCAGGGGUCCCUUGGCUUUAGUCCAGCUGAACUGGUGUUCGGUCAUACUGUGAGGGGCCCUAUGAAACUUUUGAAAGAGAUGGUUGGCAAACCAGUUCCCCUCCACAAAUUUGCUAGUCUUUGUUUGCCAUUUUCGGUCAAAGCUGAACAAGGCAUGUGAGCUGGCGAGGCAGAACUUGGGGGAAGCCCAAGGACGGAUGAAGGGGUGUUAUGACCAAAGGGCAAAGCAUCGGGCGUUCUCUCCUGGUGACAAGGGGUUGCUGCUGCCACUUCCAGGGUCUGCUUUACAAGCUCGAUGAUGCGGUCCAUAUAAUAUCCAUAUCUGAUGCGAUGGAGUUUGUUCCUGCAGGGCUCUAACCCGGAAAUAAAGCGCAUCCGUGGAAGGGACAAUGUGCUCGCAGAUGCUCUGUCAAGGUCAUGAGUGUCAUAAGCAAAUGUGAUAUAGCUUUUCAUUUAUUUUGUUAUUUUGAUUUGUGUAACUUGGCGGUUGCCUAGAGCAACCGUUUUAAGGGGGGGGGUGUUAUGUGCAGAUCUGCUCCAUGUUUUGCAGUACUCCCGGAGCUCCUCCUUCAGCCCCACCUUCUCCUCGUUACCUGGCACCUGCUGUUGCCUUUAAAGCCUGGGAGGCUUCACUCACUCGGGUCUCUAGCCAGGGCCAGCAGCAUGGUUCCUAUUCACCAGUCUGUUUAACCUUUAGUAACAAUAAACCCGGUUUCCUUAUAUUUAAUCCUUGUUUGUCGACUUCAUGUUACUUCCCUCGAGCCGGGUCGUAACAGUGCCCACAAAUUAUUAUUCUGUGGCCACGAAUUGUUAUUGUGUGGCCAUGAAUUAUUAUUCUGUGGCCACGAAUUAAUAAAUAUUCACCCAUGUCACCAGAGGGGCACCGUAAUUUCACCUCACUAGUUGGUGAGGAUUAAUUAAUUAUUACAAAUAUACAAGUUAAUCCAUUCACGCGAUUACGUGUUAGUGGCGGGAUCAAACAGCCCCCGGGUGUUUGAUCAGACUUUAAAGGGCAGCGGCGGAAGUCAGGUAGAAGGAGCAUCGGACAGACGGACAACUAUUACCAAGUUAUACAAGAGUCAAAUAUGACAAAACCGAAGACAAUUGGGAAAUGUCCCGUUUGCGGGAAAGUUUUAUCUUUUGUUGCAAAACAUCUCAGGGAGAUCCAUUCCCUCCAGAACGUCCGGGAGAGGAGCAUCCUGAACUUCCUGGCCACAGGCAGGACUUUGAUCCCCGGCGGACCCUGCCCCCUUCCCUUUUGUUUGCCCUAUCUCCUUAGUGUAGUGAAACACCUGAGAACUCAUUUGGAGCUUCCCAAGGUAAACGUGGAUCGGGAGAUCAAGGCCCUCAAGCGCACUACAGCAAUUAACCAGCUGGCGGCCUUGAGGGCCACUGAUCCCCAUCCACCCAUGGUCAGCACACUUGACCAGCCAGAGGACCAGGCGCAGCAGUCUGACCCGGAGGCGGGAGUAAGCAUGUGCACGAAGCGCACUUGCGUCAAUGCCCGCCUCCGGGUCCGUGAGCUCGAAAGGGAGCUGGCAGACCUCCGUACUAGGCAGCCCCAAUACAGGCCCCAAUACUAGCCCCGGAGGAGGAGGAGGAGGAAGCCCCCGGCCCCGGCCCCGGCCACGGAGGAGGAGGAGGAGGAGGAGGAAGCCCCCGGCCCCGGCCAUGGAGGAGGAGGAGGCGGAGCAGCAAACCCUGAAAGCGGUCAAGCACAAACUACCAUUUGGCACUCUUGGGAAAAAGAGCAAGCUGCAAAAAAAAUCUGCUGCUGCUAAGGAGGAGGAGGAGGAGGAAGAGAAGGAUGGAGGAGGAGGAGGAGGAGGAGGAGGCACCAGGGAUGUGUCGGCCUCACGGGUGUUCAUGUCCCUCCUCAAAGGGAAGAGCAGGGGCUUAACCUUGAGGAACAUAAAGUUUGGGACCUCCAUGACACUUACCUUGAGGAGUAUGGCAAAUACCUCUUCUGCCCGAAAGGGACAAAGAAGAUGAAAGAGAAUAGCGUGUCGAAGGCCAGCCGAGCAAAGGUGUUCCUCAAAUUCUUGACGCUCGGCUGGCCUUCCAUCAAAUAUUGGACUUGGGAAUUCCUUUCCCAAGUUUUUUUUUGCAAUGUCCCCCACAUAAAGACCUACCCUGCUGCGCUGAGAGCGGCUGGCCUGGCCCCGACCACACUCGUUUUGUAUGUGGGCCAGGCCAUCUCCUUCAUGGAGUACUUCCGCGAUACCCCGGCUAAAUACUCCCGAGUGACCAACGGCCAGCUGGUCAUGGUCACCCGGGAGUUGAGAAAACUGAUGAAAGACCUCAACAGGAACGUCCUUGGCCACCAGUCCCUGGUGAAACAGGGCAAACAGUUGAGACUGGUGGCCAAGGAGGACCUGGCCAAGUGCCAGCUCCUGUCCAAGGAAAAGAUCCCCUCUCUACUCUCACAACGAGUCUGCCUUCCAUCCGGCUGGACACAUACGUUGCCUGAAGUGGACCAGAGGUGUAUGUCAAAGGCUCUUUUCAGCUGGACCACACAGCGGCAUCCAGAGCUGGACUUUAGCAGGGUGGACAAACUUUGGUGGUAUCCUCCACAGGUGCCACAGGUGCCACCAGUGAUUUUCCUUUGUUGGAAAAUUACUUUGGCCAUCCCCUGCUGCUCUGGAUGCCACGAAAGCUGUGGCAAGUCAAGCUGACCUGUCCGCAUCCAGACUGCAACAAAAAAACUUCUGACCUCAGCUGGCCUGCAUCAAAAGAUACUUUGUUGCAUCUGAGUACCUGGCCUGCAGACGAUGCAAGCGGAAGGUCAGCUCGACAUUGGCCACAGGGUGCAGUUCCCUUGCAUCCUCGCAUCUAAACUUGCAUGUGAUGUUGAGGUAGCAAGUUUGAUGCGUCAGUGAGGGCUGGGAAACGGCAGCAGCCAGAUCCAACGGAAGCUGCAGGAGCGCCAUGCUGAGGUCUGGUUGCAGAAAACAGUCCAGUAUCUGACAGCUUGCAAGGGAAUUGCCAGUACUGUCACGUCGGGCCUGAUCCUGCCUGUGACAUUUAAACCUGCACCUGUCAUGCUUACUGUCCCCAAGCACCGUUGGCUGAUGCAGGUUUAUGCCCAGGAUGUCCUCCAAAGGCUGGAGGAAAUCAAGGCAACCAUCACGUCACAGUGUGGGCGUGUGUUGAAGAUGGACUCACAAAAAAGGUCGCCCGAAAGCUGGCAGGACACAGCUAUGGCACCGCUACCUGGGCAACCAAUGUUGGCAAUGAGCAUGGACAGGUGAUCAUGUCCGUGCUCACUGCCAGCGAAGGUUAUGGUCUCGGACCAAUGAUCGAGGGCCUCAUUAGGAGAUACAGAGUGGCUCGGGUGGCUCCUCCCGAAGUGCUAUAUGUUGACCGAGACUGCUGUGGCAACACUCUUCUGAGGAGGAUGUUUGAAGAGUGGGAGCAGAUGAUCAUCCGGUUGGACAUAUGGCAUUUCAUGCGGAGGUUUGCUGUGGGUUGCACUACUGACUCUCAUCAGUUAUACGCAAGGUUCAUGAGUCGCCUCAGCCACUGCAUCUUCAUGUGGGACCAGGAUGACCUGACGGCCCUGAAGGAGGCCGAGCAUGAAGAGCUAGUAGCUGACCGGAAGCAUCCAUCCGAGGCUGAUGUGAUGCGCUUUAUCAGCCGAAGCGAGCUAGCCCUGCAUUGCAGGAGAACCACCCGCGGGACCAAGGAGACCCAGGCUCUGAUUGAAAGCCAUAUCCACGCCUAUGAUGGAGACAGGGGUCGUGACACUCUGGGAGUCCCUUUGAUCAACUCGGCCCGGAUGAGUGCGAUCCUGAAGGCCCAGUGGAAGCAUGUGGCCUGCAUCCAGGAUCCUCUGGGUGUGCAGCUGUACACACAGACGGGGACAGUAGGGAAGGGAGGGCACCGCCUGCCUACCGCUGUGCCAGAGGUUCAACAUCCCUCGAGUCAUUUCACCUGCACCUGAACCGAUUCAUCCCAGGUACACUGGCAGGUGACACCUUCUUCCAGGCGUAUCUUUUGGAUGGACGUGCGAGGUCGAAUGAGGACCGGGCUGUGGCAGCGACGACAAUAGAUGAGCAGCAGCAUUCGUACAACCAUCUUCCCCGUCACGCUGUUAACAGUCUUGCAGAGGAUGUUCUGGGCGAGAAGAUCAUCCCUUAUGUCGGGCCAAGAAAAUACACUGGUGAGCUUAUCAGAGUGGAAUAUCUCUAUGAUCAAACCGGUAAAGUUCUGCAGGACUACAAUUUGGCCAUUGAGGAGUCGGAGACCUCCGAUUUUUCUGUAGAGGGGGAUGAACGCCACGCUGAACUUGAGGAGUUUCAGGACAUCACUGUCCCCACCUUCGAGACGGAACGAACACCUGCUGCCUCCUCUCAAGCACUGGCCUCUGUGGUCCCUCCAUCACCAGUACCAACACGUCCUGCGUCCUGCACCGUGGCAACGACCUCUGUGGUCCCUCCAUCACCAGCACCAACACGUCCUGCGUCCUGCACCAUAGCAACGGCGGAUCUUCCAGCAGUUGAAGAGUCCAUUCCACAUGAUGAUUCUGUUGGACCUGACAAUAUUCAGGGGUAUGGAGCUGUGCAGGACUUGGCAGAGGUACUGUUUGGCCUCAGAGACCACCGUCUGGCCUUGACUGGAGAGGAGUGCGCCCAGAUCAUCACCCUGUGGCAGGCGUUGGGGGAGUUUGACAAGAGGAAGACCGUUUACCCGCCACGUCACCAAUAUUGCCUGAAACAGGGACGAUUCAGGGCCACUAAGAUUGUGGCACCCGGUGUGGAGAGCACCAAAAGGUGUUUCGUUGGGGCUCACUGUCCUGCAGUGGCCAGACUGCAACAGGGUGGUGGAGGCCAUCUUCAUCAGGCUGUGUGCGCUCUACCCAAGCGCUGUGCGCUGUGAUGACAGGAGGGUGUCGCGCUUCACGGUGGUGACGCGUGCUAACAAGCACAUCAGAGAGUGCGUCGUCACCAACGCGAAGGUGCUGAGUGAGACCACCAUCCAGCUGCCCGAAGUCAAUGCAGCAACAGUGACACAAUGGUUCAGCAGGCGUUGCCGAUCACAGGAGAAUGAUACUCUGAUGCAGGGUGUCCCUUCUCCAGACGCACCCAUGGCAGGACCAGAGACGCUUCCUGUGGCUUUGCAGAAAGCCACAACUCUACAUUCUGGCAAUCUGGCUGAGCCUCACCUGUUCAUUCUGCCACCAAACACUGCUGGGCAGGCGAAGCUCAAGGGGAGACCGCAACCUCAGGCCAUCCACCAAGCACCACCACUUGGUGUGAUGGCACCAGCUCCACCCGUCUCUCUCCCCUUCACUGCACAGCUUCCUACCGUGCCUGGACCCUUGCAGGUGAUGGUCUUCAACCCCCCAACUCCGUUGUGUAAGGAGUUGAUGCCACCAUCAACUCCUUACACAACACAACUGUACAGGAAAAAAAAAAGAGAAAUACGUGAGGAAGACAGGCGUGAUCCUUUGUAGAAAGUGCCAGCAGGAACGGAAGCCACCGUCACACCCACGGACGUAAUUUGGGGGGGGGGGGACACAGGGGACAUGUCCCCUGCGCUUUUUCAAAAGGCCGUUCUGGUCCCCUGCAGUUUUCACCGUCCGGAAACCAUGUUACGCUAUGGUAAACAGAGACUCGUCAGGCACUAGGACCAAGCGGAAACGGCCGCUCGAGCUGAAGCCAGUUUGCUUUCGUUUAGACCUGCCCACAAGCUCCUCCAUUGGCUCUGCAUUCCUUGUGUGAUUGGCCGUCCCCGCUGUCACUCCAUCAGGUUAUAAACAGCACCAGUACGCACACCGGUCUGCCAGUUGGGGAGGAGGCCGUGUUAAUCUUCCGCUGUAAAUUGGGCGUUUGUUCUGCCUGGGCCACGUCAGCUUUCACACCUUAAUUGCCACGAUCAUCCUGUAAGGCUUAACAAGACGAGAAACUACUAUAACUGCCUAAAAUGACAGUGGUUCUGUGUUACAUUCAUUUUAAAUAAAUUUGAUCGCUUGACUACUUAAACUGAAUUAUGGACAUUUUAUUCAAUUUCUCCCCACCUGUGAUAUUCCUGCCAGUUUGACCUGCCCACCACUGGGUAGUGCUAUGUAAAUGAGGUCUGUUUACCAUAUAUUCCAAAAAUAAGUGUAAAAUUGGUGCUACUGAGAUGGAGUGAAGUUGACUAACAAGGUGAAACACAGAAUUGGGUGAUAAUGUUUUGCUACAUGCUUUACAACCAGACAAACCAAAAAAGGGAACAGUAAACUUAAAAGUAGCAACAGAAAACUAGAACUACUAGAAAACACAGUGAACUGAAGAGUUUUAUAAAAAAAUAUUUGUGUCCCCCCCACCUCUGAACCUGCAAUACUUUGGGAACUGGUACUGUGAAGGGUCUGAGAGACAGUCCUAAAGUGAAUGGAGGGCUGUGCUGGAAUAACGAGGGUACGGGAAAAAGAAGUGAUAACUUCCUUUUCCCGGGUGGAGCUGUUGAAUUAUAAAACAUAAAACAAUCAAAGAGCAGUUGGUUGGGUGGAGCUGUUAUUCCAUUCCUGUGUAAUGUUAGCACACUGACAUUACAUUCCUUUGUAAUGUCCCUUAUGUAAUGUCUUGUUAUGUGUUAUCACUGUUGUUGUUUGAACUAUAUUAUGUAUGUUUUAUAUUAUAAAAAUAUAAAACUGGUUCGGAGGUUUCUGG